rnacentral:misc_RNA from 1 species
CAGCCUUCGGCGACGGAGCGGCCGACGCGCUGGUGCUGCUUGACGUUUUCCUCGCUCACUGUGUCGAGCUCACGACGUGUAGGAGCGCGAGACAUUCCUCUUGACUGUUUUCGAGGUCGAGGUCGAGAGCG